GGUCGUGUCGAUUCGAUUGGGAUACUCAUCAAAUAAUAUGUGAAACCGAGAAGACAUCCUUUGCCAAUGGCGGGCCACAUAAACCGCAUUUGCGACUAAGCUGUAAAGCCAGUGGAUUACAAAGACGGGGAGCUCUCAAAUCUUUUUAAGAUUGGAGUUUCAUCACAUCAUCGAACGACCCUUUUA
rnacentral:sRNA from 2 species